rnacentral:rRNA from 1 species
CUCAGUUCGGAUUGGAGGCUGAAACCCGCCUCCAUGAAGUUGGAUUCGCUAGUAAUCGCGCAUCAGCCAUGGCGCGGUGAAUACGUUCCCGGGCCUUGUACACACCGCCCGUCAAGCCAUGGGAGCCGGGGGUGCCUGAAGUUCGUGACCGCAAGGAGCGACCUAGGGCAAAACUGGUGACUGGGGCUAAGUCGUAACAAGGUAUC